UGUAUCCUUAUGGGCUCUGCUAUGUGGCUGCACAAAAUAAGCAGGGAAGGAUUUUCGAUCAGCCGAUAUAAAAAGUCAGUUUUUGCAGACGUUUCCUGGUUCCAAAACCGGGCUUUUGCUAACUUUUAUCUAAUAUAAGGCCACAAAUCCCGAAGCUAUUUGUUUUAUGUAGACAUACCGCCGUCAACGAGUUCAUUGAAUGAUGAUGAAUGUUUCUUGGAGUAAGAUUUAAUGAGAAGGGGCAGUAUUUCACUUCAUGUAAAUGCACAUUCCUUAAUGUGUUUUUGUCUCUUAUAACUACUUUUUCACAUCUUUACAUGCUUCAUUGUGGAGCGGAGGUCUUUCUACCGGUCAAGUAUCAUUGCCUUGUCACAGACCAGGCGAUUUUCAACGGAACUAUGAGCUAAAAUGAUCAGCAUCACACUUUCUGGAUCCCGAUAUAAAGCUCAUUUUUUUAUUGGAGUGUAAGAUUGGUAAUGUUAAAUAUUUGGCAGUUUCUUUCUGAUGAGUAAUGUAUAUUUAUGUUCUACAUCUGUGUUACAGGUCAUUCACCAGUGGCUCCCGUCUGGUUUGGGGGUCUACCCUUUCUCAUCCUGGCCUGCCAGCCAAGUAAAAAGAGAAAUAACUACAGACCUCUGCAACUGCUGAUACCGGUUCAGGAUGAAUUGCAGAUGCUGUGAGAGAGUCAGUGGUUCAACCAGCCAACAAACAGGAAAAGCUCAAGGCGGAGUUUUAACUGUCAGCAACUCUACCC